GAAGAAGCAUGGCUGCGUGGUUGUGUGCUGUGUUAGUUUGUCAUCGCGUUUUGUGACAGGUUACAGCGAAAGUUAUGUCAGUUUGGGUUACCUUGAGUCGCCGUGAUCAGAGAGGGAGAGAGAGAUAUCUUGUUGUGUUGACAGAACAGUGAAAUUGGGCGCGCAACAAGGCAGAAAGAGCAUGCAUCUGGUUUGUGGCAAGGUGAUUGCUUACUAACAGUGACCCUGGGAAUCGUCAUUGCACUGUUACAUCAGUCAGCACAGAGACUCUGCAGCUGACAGGACGGAAGAUAUGACAGUGUUCCAUUCCUGGCAGCGGAUAGAAUCAUUUUCAUCUGCACAGUAUCCACACCAACACGGAUAUCAUCCCGGGCUCUUUUCAGCGGGAGAAGGGGCCAGUUUCUCAUGGGUGAAGCCACAGGAGCACCAUUCUCACCAACUAGUGCCUCUAAGAGUUCAUAAAUGGAAUAUCCUUGUUCUGGCUGCCCCAGAUACCAGUAUGCAACGUCUUACUUUUGGGAGUGACAUGGAGCGCUUGUCACUUCUCUGCUGGACGCGUCUCCCAGACAGAGAGUCGCUUCGUACAGCCUGUCGCAUGUCAUCUUCUCUGGAAGAGGACCCCAGGGAAGGGAGUUUUGAAAAAUGUAGAUAAUGGAAUUGCGGAUCGUCUGGAUGGAGCGCUGCAGGACUGUUUGCUCCAGAAGAUACCUGUGGUUUGCAACACGACCCCGCCUCCUCAUUUGUGAGGGGUGAUGCGAUCGACCACAAACCCUCCUCCCCUUCGCUCGGGUGAUGGAGUUGUUAAACGCUGAAAUUGAGAGGGCUUGUUUUCGCGUGCUACUUAUAAGCUGGCUUGGAGGAUGCCGUCCAUAACAGAAGGAAGGGAACAGUAACCGUCGAAUUCACGCCAACCAUUUCUCCUGCAAGAUGAGUCUUCAAAGAAAUUCCAAGGGGAAGUGACAGAAAAAGGACUUUGGAAAUAGCCGCGUACUCUUACCCUGAUGAUGAAUGCAAUACUUUUUUUCGAAACAUAAGUGAACCCUUACCAUAACACACGACGUAGCAUAACAGAAGACAAUAAUCUUCAUUCUGCAUAUAUCAGAUCCCCAUUCUGAAUUUAAAGUAAGGGGAAUCAAACAAGUGGCUAUGCAUAACAAUCAGUAUGCCAGCUACUCACAGUCCUGUCGAGUCUUCACUGAGCUGCACUAUCUGUUAAACACAGGAAACAUAAACUCUGAUUAUGUUAUUUCAGAUCCUUAAGCAGUGGCAAUAAGUACAUAUCUUUAGAGGUGCUUGAAAGUUGUUUUAUGUACCAUGAAAUCUCAUACGACUUAACGUAUUCCACUUUAAAUCUAUUUGCUUCAGAGUGACAAACAUAACAUUCCAGCAUUUCCCUCUUGGUAGAUAAAAUUAUCAUACUGAUUAAAGAUAUAGACAAGACACUUCAAACUUAGUUAAACGCUGAAAUUUACAGAGACAGUGUGUGUGGGGGGGUGUCACACUGACAGUAAAUGGAAUCAGACUUCUCCACUUUCUGAAGGUAGAAUGCUGAGUCUUUCAUCUCGAACUUCAAACAUAAUAUAAGUCAGCCUUCACUCAGUCGGCUAAUCUGCAAUUCAGAAUCUCCCUUUAAGAGAAGUCGUGAUGAGAUGACGUCAGUCAGAGCAGAGACUGAGACAGUAACAAGAGAGGCUCUCCGGUUCAAAUGGCGUUCAAAGAUCUCACCGCACCGCAGACUUCUGACUUCUCAGUGGCAGAAAUCAGGUGCUCUGUGAGAUGUCUGCAGGCCAUCUCGGGUCGUAUUUAAGUGCCUCAUGAAAGGAAAAUAGUCUUGUGGGCGGAUUUCUAUAGUGGAGCGAAUGCAGGCUUGAAUCGGCAACACUUACUUCAUGUGAGGAAUUGAGACAUCUUAACUCCUUGACUUAUGAUCCAUGACUGCAUAGCGUUUGCUCUACUAGUGGUUGCGUUCGUUGGCUGGGAACGUCUUUUGUAUAAAACACUGCAUGUGAAUAUUGUUUGACUUUGACUUUGACUUGUUUGACAUUCUAGUGAGAGUUGUGAGAAAGGACAGACUGUGAAACGACUUGUUCAACAUUAUGUGUUAUAGUUACGUUGAAUUGUAGUUACGUCGUUGAGUAAUAAAAUU